GCCUGCAUGAAGUCGGAAUUGCUGUAAUCGCGGAUCAGCAUGCCGCGGUGAAUACGUUCCCGGGCCUUGUACACACCGCCCGUCACACCAUGGGAGCCGGUAAUACCCGAAGUCAGUAGUCCAACCUCGUGAGGACGCUGCCGAAGGUAGGAUUGGCGACUGGGGUGAAGUCGUAACAAGGUAAC
rnacentral:rRNA from 1 species